rnacentral:tRNA from 1 species
GGGUGGAUACCCAAGCGGCCAAAGGGGCCAGACUGUAAAUCUGGUGGCUCUGCCUUCGCAGGUUCGAAUCCUGCUCCACCCA